rnacentral:rRNA from 1 species
AGAGUUUGAGUCCUGGCUCAGGACGAACGCUGGCGGCGUGCUUAACACAUGCAAGUCGAACGGAGCACCCCUGAAAGAGUUUUCGGACAAUGGAAGGGAAUGCUUAGUGGCGGACUGGUGAGUAACGCGUGAGGAACCUGCCUUCCAGAGGGGGACAACAGUUGGAAACGACUGCUAAUACCGCAUGACACAUGGCCGUGGCAUCACGGACAUGUCAAAGAUUUAUCGCUGGAAGAUGGCCUCGCGUCUGAUUAGCUAGUAGGCGGGGUAACGGCCCACCUAGGCGACGAUCAGUAGCCGGACUGAGAGGUUGACCGGCCACAUUGGGACUGAGAUACGGCCCAGACUCCUACGGGAGGCAGCAGUGGGGAAUAUUGGGCAAUGGGCGCAAGCCUGACCCAGCAACGCCGCGUGAAGGAAGAAGGCUUUCGGGUUGUAAACUUCUUUUAAGGGGGAAGAGCAGAAGACGGUACCCCUUGAAUAAGCCACGGCUAACUACGUA